GCUUCUUUUUCCACCGGAGCUUGCUCCACCGGAAAAAGAGGAGUGGGGAACGGGUGAGUAACACGUGGGUAACCUGCCCAUCACAAGGGGAUAACACUUGGAAACAGGUGCUAAUACCGUAUAACAAUCAAAACCGCAUGGUUUUGAUUUGAAAGGCGCUUUCGGGUGUCGCUGAUGGAUGGACCCGCGGUGCAUUAGCUAGUUGGUGAGGUAACGGCUCACCAAGGCCACGAUGCAUAGCCGACCUGAGAGGGUGAUCGGCCACAUUGGGACUGACACACGGCCCAAACUCCUACGGGAGGCAGCAGUACGGAAUCUUCGGCAAUGGACAAAAGUCUGACCGAGCAACGCCGCGUGAGUGAAGAAGGUUUUCGGAUCGUAAAACUCUGUUGUUAGAGAAGAACAAGGAUGAGAGUAACUGUUCAUCCCUUGACGGUAUCUAACCAGAAAGCCACGGCUAACUACGUGCCAGCAGCCGCGGUAAUACGUAGGUGGCAAGCGUUGUCCGGAUUUAUUGGGCGUAAAGCGAGCGCAGGCGGUUUCUUAAGUCUGAUGUGAAAGCCCCCGGCUCA
rnacentral:rRNA from 1 species